CCGGGUGGCCUCCCGAGGUGGCUCCUCCGGGCCCGCGGGGCCCACCCAACCCCUCCGACCCAGGACCGGGUCCGGGAAUGUGAAUUGAUGCGCGUGCCCGUUCGAGGCAGCCCCGGCCCUGGUUACCUCCAAACUGGCCGGCCUAGUGGGCUUGGGUGAGUGGGCCCGGGUGGCAGUUCUAACGGUAGGAACGAAGGUGGGUGGGUGUGGUCGAAAUGCUGAAAGCCUUAUUUCCAAAAUGAAUGAUUUUGAAAUGAUUUCCGUAGAAGAAUGCUGGGGGCGAGGGGGGAAGAAUAUAGAGUCCGUUAAAUAUCUGAUGGACACGGACCUGUCCUUCAUUCCGGAAGUAUCUCUCGAGAUCCACCAGGUUCAAGGCCCUGGAGAAAGACCGGGUCCUGCGCUUUGGGAAGCUCAUCUUCUAGUAGGGUAGACGGAUUUAAGCAAACAAGGCAAUGACAGAUUGCGAUGCGGCUCCGCAGGAAAUACACAAAGGUGAUGAGAGAUUUUGUGGGCGAGACCUCUGGCAGGAUGGGAUAGUUGGAGAAGACCUCUAGAGGGAAGUGGUAGUUGAGCAACCUCCUGGGAAGAAGGCACGAAAUACACUUCGACACCACUUUACAUCCAGGGACUGUAGGUUCCAGAACCCCCUGAAUAAGCCCACAAUUCCAUGUUAAGAACCUGGCUCUAAUGCCUUCCAAGGGCUGUUUCUCUGCUGCCCACCCCUGCGAUUUCAGAAGGCUUGCUCUCCCUUUAGAGUUCAUGAGGGCUGGAGUAUGGCACUGCGAGGGAGGCAUGAAUUAGGGAACUUUGGUGUCUAGGCAGUGAGACUUCAACAGGUGGCUUCACCACAGGAGAAUUAUCAUACCAUCAGCCUUGAAAGACAAAAUCUCUAACCUCGCACUUUUUCUUUCCAUGUCACUAUUUUUCUCAGACCUGUGAGCAAACACUGAAACUAUGGUUUUCACCUGGGAUCAAUAGGGGCUUAAUAUUCCCAAAAGAUCAUACUAUGUUAUGAUCUGAAUAAAAGGAUUAAUGACAUAUUUUUGCUAAAUCAGUUAAAGAUAAAAUAAAAAGAGGACUUUCAAGAGAGAACCUAUUCAGGUACCUGAAUAAUACCAAUAAAUCCAAUAAUGUUUAUUAAAUAUUUAAGUUUAUAUAACUGCAUAAUUAAUGGAAAGAUUGGGUAAUAUUAGGAUUAGAUGCUCUUGCUUUUUAAAAUUUUACUCCUUAGCCACUUGUUUUGGCUCAUAGCAAACUAACAGAGAAAGAAAGGUUUUGCCAUAUCUUCUGGGAAAACUGGGAGGAAGCUCACACUUAUUGACUACCUACUAUUUGCACAGCAUUGUACUAAGCUAUUAAAUAUAUUAUCCCUUUCAGUACUAGGACCAGCCUUGAGAUAUGGAGAUUAUUAUACCCAUUUUAGUAACAAAGACACUGAGAUUCAGAGCAAUUAUGACUUGCCUAAGGUAACAAAACUAGUAGCUGAGAGUCAGAAUUUGAAACUCCAGUCUUUCUGGCCCUAAUUCCCCUUUUACUUUAUGCUAUAUUGCUGUACUUUAAUAUUUAAAAAGGAAAUAUAAAUGAAGUGUACGGCCAAGCAAAUUUCUAUAUUGCUCUUAUAAUUUUAUUAUAAGAGUAUACUUUAAGGUAGAGUGGUAUGAGGCAAUUUUGGAACUUCUCUGUAUUUUUACUUCUCCCACUAUAGGAUAUUUGCCAUCUGUUGCCAAAAAAACUAUUCCACUUGUUUUAAAGUUCACAAUGGGAACUUCCCUGGUGGUCCAGUGGCUAAGACUCCGCACUCCCAAUGCAGGGGACCUGGGUUCGAUCCCUGGUCAGGGAACUAGAUCCCAUAUGCAGCAACUAAAGAUCCUGCAUGCCGCAACUAAGACCUGGCGCAUCCAAAUAAAUAAAUAUUAAAAAGAAGUUCAGGGCUUCCCUGGUGGCGCAGUGGUUGAGAGUCCGCCUGCCGAUGCAGGGGACACGGGUUCGUGCCCCGGUCCGGGAGGACCCCAAAUGCCGCGGAGCGGCUGGGCCCGUGAGCCAUGGCCGCUGAGCCUGCGUGUCCGGAGCCUGUGCUCCACAACGGGAGAGGCCACAACAGUGAGAGGCCCGCGUACCGAAAACAAAACAAAACAAAAGUUCAUGAUGGCAUGUGUCUUUUAAAGGCUCCCAAGAAUGUUAUAAAGUAUGACACUAACAUUUUGUCAUUGCAAGGGGAUCCUGACUAAAUGCAUCACUCUGAACUGUUUCACAACAGUCUUUCCCUGCACAUUCUUUCUGCCAAAAAUAUGGGUUCCCAAAUCUUUAUGGAAUAAUUCUGACAUGUGAAUGCCCCCAGGUCUGUGUGGGCUGUCCGCUCUAGGGACAUAUUAAUAGAUGAAGGAAAAUUUUGAAAGUGUUUAUAUGGUUUUGAGCAAUGAGGUGGUAGGAUGUGUACAUUUUUGUUCAUUUCAUAUCAGAUCCUUCACAUUUUUCUUUGAUGAUGUCAAGAAAUACAAAUUUUCCUUUCUCAAGAGCAAACACUCAUUUUUGUGGCUUUCACAAAAUUGACUUUUGCAAACACAACACUAUGUUUCACUCUACACACAUCUCUGGAAAACAUUAGUUCAAACAUUAAAAAUAGGAUGCUACUUUUCAGAGCCCAGUAUUUUUAUUAGUAAAGUGUAUAUGUAGCAUACUUUGAAAGAAUUUUUAAAAUUUUGGUUAACUCCUUACAAACCUAUGGAAACCUAGCAAAGCAACAGUCUGUGACUGCUGACUAUGUAUAUUUGCUUUAAGCUCUCUUUCCAAACAUUAUUUCUUAUCUAGAUUUCCUAUUUUUUUCUUGCUUUCCUAUUUUUGGGGGUGGGGAGGGGAAUAACUAUAGACUCACAAGAAGUUACAAAAAUAGUACAGACAAGUCCUGUGUACUCUUUACCCAGUUUCCCCCAUUGGCAGCAUCUUACAUAACCUAUAAUACAUUAUUAAAACUAAGAAACUGACAUCUUGUUAUCUUUAGACUUUUAGUUUCUUUUUACAAGCUGGAAAACUGCCCCUAAUAAGCAAUCUAAGCUGCCCCUACUGGGGGCAACUCACUCUGAGCUCACUGCGUGUUCCACACAUAUUUUCUUUUUCACACAUACUUUGUUCCUUCCACACGUACUUUGUUUCUAAUAAAUGCUUUUAUCUUUUUCACAA